UACGUAGGGUCCGAGCGUUGUCCGGAAUUAUUGGGCGUAAAGGGUGCGUAGGUGGUGGGGUAAGUCGGAUGUGAAAUCCCGGGGCUCAACCCCGGAACUGCAUUCGAAACUGCCUUGCUCGAGUACUGGAGAGGAGACUGGAAUUUACGGUGUAGCAGUGAAAUGCGUAGAUAUCGUAAGGAAGACCAGUGGCGAAGGCGAGUCUCUGGACAGUUACUGACACUGAGGCACGAAGGCCAGGGGAGCAAACGGG
rnacentral:rRNA from 1 species